AGUGGCGAACGGGUGAGUAAAGUAUCGGAACGUGCCCAGUCGGGGGGGAUAACGUAGCGAAAGUUACGCUAAUACCGCAUACGAUCUAUGGAUGAAAGCGGGGGAUCGCAAGACCUCGCGCGAUUGGAGCGGCCGAUAUCAGAUUAGGUAGUGGGUGGGGUAAAGGCUCACCAAGCCGACGAUCUGUAGCUGGUCUGAGAGGACGACCAGCCACACUGGGACUGAGACACGGCCCACACUCCUACGGGAGGCAGCAGUGGGGAAUUUUGGACAAUGGGCGCAAGCCUGAUCCAGCCAUGCCGCGUGCAGGAUGAAGGCCUUCGGGUUGUAAACUGCUUUUGUACGGAACGAAAAGGUUUGGCCUAAUAAGCUGAGCUCAUGACGGUACCGUAAGAAUAAGCACCGGCUAACUACGUGCCAGCAGCCGCGGUAAUACGUAGGGUGCGAGCGUUAAUCGGAAUUACUGGGCGUAAAGCGUGCGCAGGCGGUUAUGUAAGACAGAUGUGAAAUCCCCCGGGCUCAACCUGAGAACUGCAUUAGUGACUGCAUAGCUGGAGUACGGCAGAAGGGGGGAUGGAAUUCCGCGUGUAGCAGUGAAAUGCGUAGAUUAUGCCGGAAGGACCACCGAAUGGCGAAGCCAUCCCCUGGGCCUGUACUGACUGCUCAUGCACGAAAGCGUGGA
rnacentral:rRNA from 1 species